rnacentral:lncRNA from 1 species
CCACUUUUCCUUUCUCUCUCUACCUCUUCCCUUCUUCUCUCUAAAUAAUAUCCACCAUAGCUGCUGCGUCCCCCCUUUCCUGCAAAAUCAGGUUGGAGACCACCUUCCCCUUUUAUUCCCUCUUUCUCCAAUCUCUAAUCAGUGCUACAGCUCCAGCUAUCGUUCCCACCAUGAACCACCGACCAGUCCGUCUCCUCGCCGCUAUGCCACCAGAGAAAACAACUAGUGACCAGCAUCUGCUCUGAUGCCUAUCUAAAUAGCCUCCAGCCUCUGCCUCCACACCACCAGCCACCAGUUAAUGGCGAACCAGCUACUACCACCUAGCUCCGCCAGCCUGUCGUCCUCCCUUGUCUCUUAUUCGUUAUAUCCUCGCCAGAGUUGAUGACCGGCAAAGUUUUCAAUGAUCUUUCCCGCGAUUGAUAUUCCGAUUUGACCAAUUAAUACCUUAAAUUGCAUGUUUUGUUUGCU